rnacentral:rRNA from 1 species
CCAAUUGCGAAGGCAGCUUUCUGGAUCAUUACUGACACUGAGGAACGAAAGCAUGGGUAGCGAAGAGGAUUAGAUACCCUCGUAGUCCAUGCCGUAAACGAUGUGUGUUAGACGUUGGAAAUUUAUUUUCAGUGUCGCAGCAAAAGCGAUAAACACACCGCCUGGGGAGUACGACCGCAAGGUUAAAACUCAAAUGAAUUGACGGGGACCCGCACAAGUAGUGGAGCAUGUGGUUUAAUUCGAAGAUACGCGCAGAACCUUACCAACACUUGACAUGUUCGUCGCGACUCUAAGAGAUUAGAGUUUUCGGUUCGGCCGGACGAAACACAGGUGCUGCAUGGCUGUCGUCAGCUCGUGUCGUGAGAUGUUGGGUUAAGUCCCGCAACGAGCGCAACCCUCACUUUUAGUUGCCAUCAUUUAGUUGGGCACUCUGAAAGAACUGCCAGUGAUAAGCUGGAGGAAGGUGGGGAUGACGUCAAGUCCUCAUGGCCCUUACGUGUUGGGCUACACACGUGCUACAAUGGUAUCUACAACAGGAAGCAAGACGGCGACGUCAAGCAAAUCCUUAAAAGAUACCUCAGUUCGGAUUGCACUCUGCAACUCGAGUGCAUGAAGCUGGAAUUACUAGUAAUCGUGGAUCAGCGUGCCACGGUGAAUGCGUUCCCGGGUCUUGUACACACCGCCCGUCACACCAUGGGAGUUGGUUCUACCUUAAGGCAAGGUUUUAAACCCUUGACCACGGUAUAGUCAGCGACUGGGGUGAAGUCGUAACAAGGUAGCCGUAGGGGAACCUGCGGCUG